GAUUCAGCUCAUUUUAAGAAAUAAAAGUAAUUAUCACCUGUGCCACCCGGCCGGCCGGCUCUGUACAUGGAGAGGAAAACAAUUUCAGAACUUUAUUUCCUAUAUUGAAUGUCGAUAAUUGGAUGUAUUUAUAAGUCUCGCUGGAAGAAAGCAGCUUGUGAUUUCAAGACAAGAAAACAGUCUUCCAAACACCGAAAAACAAUAUAUUCCCCAUUUUCACACACACACAAAGAGCUUGUUUCUCCGAGGUGUUGAAGGGGCUGCCGGAAUGAUUUGCUUUUCUGAAGCUCUCGUUCCAUUUCUCAUCUGGAAUUGCCUCGUAGACCCUGGCAAAGCACCCAGCAGGGACCACUUCAUCUGACACAGUGACGGGGGCUUCCCAGGGAAGGCCCCCUCAGCUGCUCCCUGCCUCUUUUCUGCAGGAAGAUGGAUGCCCAGAUGAACUGGGCUAGGAAAGGAGGGCAAGAGGGUUCGGGAUGUGAUGGAGGGCCUUCCUGGGGCUGAUAGUGUGGCCCUGGAGAACAUUGCAGGCCACGUUGACCCUAGAAACAGGGAAGCUAAGGUUAGCCCAGCCAUUAUCACAAUGGCCCUCUAGUACCAUGACAGGACAGCCACCUCAGUAUGUGCAGUGGUUUGAAGGAGAAAUGCUCUCUAUAGACACAUGCCUGGCCACUUGGUAAAGGUGCUGUUUUGGGAGAUGGCUGAACCUUUGGAGUGUGGCCUAGUUCACAGAAGCAGGUCUCUUGGGGGGAUGGGAGGGGGAAAUGUUUGAAGGUGAAGCUCUGGCCUGAGCUUUCUGCUUCCUGAUCCACUAAUAUGUUAGGAGCUGCAGCCCUGUGCUCCUGCUGCUGUAGAUGGAGCCAUCCUGGGAAUCAUGCAAUUCCUGCUGUGAUGGACUAUGGCCCCUUGCUCUAGUUUUGUUUCUGAUGCUCUGAUGGGUACUCUGGCGGAAAGCAACUUAGUGGAGAAAGGGGCCUAUUUCUGUUAAUGAUUUUCUAGGUUGCAAUCCACAGCUUUGGGGAAGUCAAGGCAAGAACGUCACACAGCUAGUGACAUCAUAUUCACAGUCAAGGGCAGAGAGGCAUGAAUGCACGCAUGCUCACAUGCUCGUCUGCCUGUGCUCAGUUCUCUGUCUCAUAUAGGUCAGGACCACCUGCCUAGGGGAUGGAGCCACCUACAGUGGACUGGUUGCUCCCACAUCAAUAAACUUAAUUCAGAUAAUCCCUUACUGUGAGGCAUAACUCAACUUAAAGUACCUCCUUGAGACUCUCCAAGCAAUUCUGGGUGUGUCAAGUUGACAACUCAAGAGAACCAUCACAGCCUCUAGGAACAUGGGCCCCAAUUAACUGUUCCUCUUUUAAAUUACUCCUGUCAGGUUUGGGGCCACAGCGACAGGUAAAGUAACUAAUAUAUCAUGUCCUGUCUGUUGCAUGCCUUCCUGUCCCACCUGGGAGAAAUGAGUAUGGAAUACAUCCUCCUGUCCCCUACGUGGCCGCACAUGCCCCAUUUUGACAUGAGUCAAUGUGAGUCAAAGACCUAGUGGUCAGCGACGUCCACUGAGCUGUAGGGGAGUGGUGACUUAGGCAGUGGGGGUGGGUAGGACAGGGUAAGGUGAUCUAACACAGUGCCACAGGGAGAAGGGAGGACCUUGGCUAGGAUGGCAUUCCUUCAGGGGUAGCAAGGACAGCGGACUUCUGGAGAGUAAUAUUGCAUUGGAACCUGGGCUAAUGAAGCAGGUACCUCUCGGCCACCUGUAGGCCAUCACGAGGCCAGAGCUUGUCUCAGAGGGGACCCGUGACCUUGGAGGUGAGGCACAGUGUGAGGCAUGAGCGCACUGCCCGGCUCACUUCCUCAGCUGAUUUACACACUCCCACGCCGACUCUCUAAAAUCAAUCUUUCCCCAAUUGCCUCCUGGCUCUCAGCAGCGUCUGGGUCUGCCCUGCAUGAGUAACUC
rnacentral:lncRNA from 1 species